AUUGAACGCUGGCGGCAUGCCUUACACAUGCAAGUCGAACGGCAGCACGGGUGCUUGCACCUGGUGGCGAGUGGCGAACGGGUGAGUAAUACAUCGGAACGUACCUUAUCGUGGGGGAUAACGCAGCGAAAGCAGUGCUAAUACCGCAUACGCCCUGAGGGGGAAAGCGGGGGAUCGCAAGACCUCGCGCGAUUAGAGCGGCCGAUGCCUGAUUAGCUUGUUGGGGGGGUAAAAGCCCACCAAGGCGACGAUCAGUAGCUGGUCUGAGAGGACGAUCAGCCACAGUGGGACUGAGACACGGCCCAGACUCCUACGGGAGGCAGCGGUGGGGAAUUUUGGACAAUGGGGGCAACCCUGAUCCAGCAAUGCCGCGUGAGUGAAGAAGGCCUUCGGGUUGUAAAGCUCUUUUGUCAGGGAAAAAACACCGGCUCUAACACAGUCCGGGAAUGACGGUACCUGAAGAAUAAGCACCGGCUAACUACGUGCCAGCCGCCGCCGUAA
rnacentral:rRNA from 1 species